UGGGGGGCACGGUGUUCCUGACCACCCGCCAGACGCUGUGCCGGGAGCAGAAGUCCUUCCUCAGCCGCCUGUGCCAAGGCGAAGAGCUGCAAUCGGACAGGGAUGAGACCGGGGCCUACCUCAUUGACCGUGACCCCACCUACUUCGGGCCCAUAUUGAACUUCCUCAGGCAUGGCAAAUUGGUGCUGGACAAGGACAUGGCUGAGGAGGGGGUCCUGGAGGAAGCUGAGUUCUACAACAUCGGUCCUCUGAUUCGAAUCAUCAAAGACAGGAUGGAGGAAAAAGACUACACAGUGACCCAGGUGCCACCCAAGCACGUGUACCGAGUGCUGCAGUGCCAGGAGGAGGAACUCACACAGAUGGUCUCCACUAUGUCCGAUGGCUGGCGCUUCGAGCAGCUGGUGAACAUCGGUUCCUCCUACAACUAUGGGAGUGAGGACCAGGCCGAGUUCCUGUGUGUGGUGUCUAAGGAACUCCACAGCUCCCCCCACGGCCUGAGUUCGGAGUCCACUCGCAAGACCAAGCUAUUACAAGCCAGAGGCACCCGGAUGUGAGCCCCCAGAUCACCUCCAGGGACUUGGGGUUCCGAUCUGAAAUCCUUUAUUUUUGUACCACGGGGUGGGCCCCUGGCCCGAGGAGGAAGACUUGUCCUCCGCCUUGUCAAUGCUGCCUGCAUCUGCCGGGCUGAGACUCACUCCUGCCUCGGGGCCCGGGCCUGGGGCCCUCUGGGACCUUGGAAGGCCUGAGGUGG
rnacentral:lncRNA from 1 species